rnacentral:sRNA from 1 species
AACAACAACAACAACGACAAAUGAUUCAUCUAGAAAGCUUAGUGAGUUCUCUAAGGAACCUGACUCAUGAUGAGAGACAACUUGUCUGCCACUUAGUAGCUCCUUAGAAUUUUAGAGUUCUACAACAAAUAGAUGGGAAGGCUUUUGGCGGGUUUAGCCUGCCCCAAGGUUAACAUGGGGUUCAGCUACCUGGGGCUGCAGUAGAGUCAACUGGUGGUUAUUUGUACAUUCUCCUGACCAAAUAUUUGUACUUGUUUUCGCCCCAUUAACUAAAGGAAGACAGUCUUGACACUUCAGUGAGAGUCCCUAAGCAUCUACCAUCCCUUUUCAGAUCUCAGCAGGCUUCCAUAUCUCUUAAAACCAAGACACGGAUGCAGACAAAGCUACAGCCUGCUAGUUUUAUUUCUUAUUCCAGAGGAGACAAAGGCUUGACAAACACUGUAGGAACGACAUAACACCCUUCCCAAUACAUAUCCCUCCAGGUCCUCAAACUUUUGUCAGGGACUAGAAUCAAGGCAACUCCAGUUUCCUGCGUCAAAUGAAUUAAUCUGUGUUCCCCCUUUCUGGCUUACAGGAUAGAUACGCCACUUAGUUAAGAGCAUAGGUCCAAGGGCUGGAGAGGUGGCUCAGUAGUUAGGUGCACUUGCUGCUCUUGACCUGAGAGGACUGCUUGAUUCCCAGCACCCAUAGCAAGAAGCUCAUAAUGGUAAAUCCAAUUUCAGGGGAUUCUGAGACAUCUCCUGGCCUCAGAGGGUACCAAGUAUGCAUAUGAUACACAUACUUACAUGUGGAUACUUGCGCAUAAACAUACAAUAAUAAGUACAUUUAAGAGUAGGAAGAGAAAAUAGGCUUAGAGGUUGCUGAUACUAUAAGCACGACUUACUACUUAUAUGGCUGAGGAAAAUUCCACAAGCUUUCUAAGCUUAGCCUCCUCCUUUCCCUGAUCCAAUGGUUAGACCUUUGUUGUGCAGUUAUAACAAAAAUCUCAAUAAGCCAUGUGGAGCCAUCAUCUCCAAGCACUGCCCAUGUCAUUGUCAUGGUAUGUCCUUGCCUUACAUUUCUGUUCUCUGUCCCAGAGACUCUGUUCUCCACAUACAUCUUCCUCACGUAGAAAUGUUUAGAAAAGCAGUGGUCACAGAUAGUUUUGCAGUUGGCAUUCUGCAGUUGGAGAUGAUGGUGUAUCUGGAAAUAUUUUUUCACCAGCACUUGGGAUGGUUGGGAAGUUUAGCAGUGGCCUUGGGCUCUGAGAACCUUCCUAGGGCUUUGAUGGAGGGCUGUCAGGGCGAUGGGAUGCAGAAUGAAGAACCCUGGCAGCAUCUGAUUCAGACAGUGCUGACUCAUCCACAAAGAAGUUUAUAGCAGGCAGCUGGCGAAGCUAAGCAUCUUGGGAGCAGAACCUUUGGGAGUUCCUUGGAGGCUGAUUGGUAGGUCUAUAAUUCAAACAUGUAAUUCAUGUGUCGCGGAAAUGGGUGGCAAUUGGCAAGAGAGAGCUGUUUGGGAGAAUGCAUCCAAUUUGAACUCAGAUACUGACAGCUUUCAUUGCCUGAACUCUUACAUAAUCUCCCUUCAAGCAUUUUCUUUUUGAAUAUCUGUUUUGCUCUACCAAAGCAUCUUCAUAGUUAGGCCAUCCUCCUUUGGAGCCACUCACCUCUCCUCUUCCUUUCCUUUUCUUGUAAGUGGCCCUAGGAUCUCACUGUAAAUCUCUCCUGGAUCCUGUGAUCAUACCCUUGAUGCCUACAAUAGUCCCUGACGAACAUCUUGAUCGUGUUUGAAAAGAGAUGUCAAACAAAUCUCCUUACAGGCAUGCAUGAUAUGCUUAAGGUGAAGAAGCCUCAGGGAGUUAUCUUCUCUGCUGGCCUGGUGGAGGUAAGGCUAGUCACAUACCCACCCCAACAAACCAAUACCCUUCCACUAAUGCCUUCUACAUGGGGUAUCUAUAAGAGAUGUAUGAGAAGGAUCAUAAAGCUUGACUAGAAGCAAAGUAGUUCUUUCCCCAUCUCCACUACAAUGCCAUCUCAUGAGAUAGUGAUAAAACGCUAUCUCAGAGUGAAAAAAAUCCAGAUCUGAAACAAAGAGAAACAACUCAGAAGGUGAGAAUUAAUCCCUUCAUUUGAAUGAGAAGGAAAGGUACCUACUCCUCAUAGAAGGAUGCCACGUUAAAAGAAAGAAGCAAUAUUUUACAUAGCUGGAGAGAACAUUCUGAAACCUCAUGUGGGUUUGAUAAAAAAUUCAUAUUCGGUGUAUUUUACAGAGACACUAAGCAUAUUUGUUGUAGCUUUUGUUUUUAUCUUUAAGUGUGUGUGUGUGUGUGUGUGUGUGUGUGUGUGUGUGUGUGUGUGCCUGCUUGUCUGUAUGUGCACCAGGUAUGUACAAGUGUUCUCAGAGUCCAGAAGAGGGUGAAACAACUCAGAAGAUGAGAAUUAAUCCCUUCGUCGAGGUCACCAUUUUCAUAAUUUUGUAACUUAGGAACAUGUCUAACAGAUGUAAACUUGGAAAUCAAAAUUAUUCACCCAUCCGACUCCCAAGCUUGUGACCUGGCUUUCCCUUAUGGCCUUGUCUUUUGCUGUGUAUUUAUUAAUUUUCCUCCAGUCAUCAUGUUCAGUUAAAUACUUCAAAGGCAUUUCUGCUCCAGGGCCUUUGCACGUGCUUUUCUUUCUAUGUGGAAUAUUCUCCCCAAAAGAAUCCAUACGGCCAGCUCUCUCAUACUCCAUCAUUCAUCUAUAACUUCUGUCAGUAAGUCAUGUUUUCAGACCAGAGUCUAAUGUUAGCCCCCGCCCCUAUAGUUUUUUAAAUUUUAUUCCUUCAGAAUACCUUUUUCCCCAGAAAUAUCUUACCAACAUUCCAAACUGUAUAUCUAACUUUUACAAUCUAAUUAUUUAUCUUGUUUCUGGUCAUCUCUGAUCAGAUAGUAAACCACAAACGGGUAAGGGCCCUUGGUGGUUCUAGUUAACCCUAGACCUUCACACUUGAAAGAGUGGCUAAUAUAUCACAAAUGCUCAAAAAGGUGAGUAUAUUGAAUAUUGAGAUGGAAGAAAAAUGUAAACCAGAAAAAUCACCUACCUAGUGGCAUUACAAAAGACACUCAAAGAACACCAAAGAACAUAAAAAGCCCAAAUCCAGAACACUGCCAAGUGACAGAGUGCUGAAUUCUAGACCUCUGAAUCUUGUUCUUAAAGUGCUUAAUAAAGUAAAAUAUGUGCUAUUCUCUUCUGGGGACCGGGAGAGGAAAAUUGCGAAUGCUGCAGAAGUAUGAGGUGAAGCCAAUGAUAAAUCAACUGGGAUAUUGCUUAUCAUGCUUUACUCUCAGCAGUAAUAAGACACAGCACAAGCCUUGAUGCAAGCAUCAUUAUGGGCGUUCAUCAAACCAAGACUUCUCCGCAGGCACUUUGGGUCUGCCUCCCGGUCCGUGAACACGUGCUCCAGACGUAGGUGCUAAAUGUUUCUUAGCAACUUACACAGGAAGUCUGUCUGCGGAACUGCACGUUGGAUGGAGGAUAUUGUACUCUCUCCAUCCUCAGUUCCAGAGCCUGAAUCCGCAUGAGAGGAGAAGGAUGGCUGGCCAGAGCUUUGUGGACGUAUCUGAGAGACGAAAGACAGAAGUCCUCAUAGAAAGAGGAGAGAAUGGAAACUUACAGAAAGAAGUGUCCACAGGUACUUUUCAUCUUCUCAAAUUGAGCUGCUGUCGACCUGUGUCCUUCUCUCCAGCUUCUGGCAACUGCCAUCCUGUUUUCCACCUCUAGGAAUUUGUCUUCUCUGGGUUCCGCAUCUAAGUGGAGUCAGCUGUCAGUAACAUAGAAGUACAUAAAAGUGACACCUGGGAGCUGGAGGGCCCUGAUCCAGAGGGGUGUUCAGCCCUGAAGUUUGGUGGCCAACACCGGCCCUACUUCUGCAAGAAAACUGCACAGCCAGCUGCUUCUAGAGAACCCAAGAGACGACAGAAGGCAUGCUGUGCCCCCAAGGAUAUACCUCUUGGUUCCUGUCCUCAUCAGCAUGUUGGAGAACAAGACCUGGUGGAGGCGGGGCGGGGGAGCAGGAUCUUCCUUUUCUAUAAUUUCCUUCCCCCUUGUCUUGCACUGGCAGAUAGGGCCGGUGGGGAUACAGCAGCUGUGCGCUCUGCUACGAAGGUCUCAGCGCUUUUCGUUGCCAGAAUCCCAGGCCCAUACCACCUGGUUUGGGGCUUUGGGGAGCAUGUGAAGCAGGGACAAUCUAGACCCUGAACUAAGUAGUCCCGAUGCCCUCUAGCGCCCCUCUUUCCCUCCUUACUUUUCUCUAAGCAGCAGCCAGACAGCUAGGAGUGUGUUGGUCAGUGCAGAGUUCCACAGUGAUGCCAUUCGCUGAUCCUGGCUGGUUACCACCCUCAACUCUUGUCAUCUGAUCGUCUGAAAAUAGGUAGUUGGUUAACUCAUCCUGGGCCUGACCAUCCCUACCAAAUUCACCACAUCUAUUUGGUCUAAGAACCACCUCCGAAUCACACUUCUUCUGCCUUUAGCCCCAUCCCCCCUCACCCCCAGCUGAUUGAUUCUCUUGUGGUCAAAUCAAAGCAAUAUCAGAGCAUAUCAUGUCUGUGCAGACACUCAGCAGCUUGGCUUUUCCCUUAGAAUAGAAUCCGGCUUCCUCACCGUAGUCAGCUGGGCCCUUCCUCAUCCAUUCUUUCCUCUCACUUCCUCUUACCCCGCCAUUCCACUUCCAAGUGUUCCUUGUUGAACAUUCUUGUUCCCACAUCUGCUGGCAAUGGCCCUUCCCGCGAAUGAAUCUCAAAUGGGACCACUCAGGUCUCUGCUCAAAUAUGUUGAUGUUCCUCUUCAGGCAUCCAGAACACACACACUCUCUCUCUCUCUCUCUCUCUCUCUCUCU